rnacentral:rRNA from 1 species
CCCAGUCGCCAUAGCAGCCUGAGAACGCCCCGCCCCAGAAGCUAAGCAGGGUCUGGCCUGGCUGGUGCUUAGAUUGGAACCACGUGGAAAGUCCAAGUCUGGAGGCUAUUGGCU